rnacentral:rRNA from 1 species
UAAUACUCCAUAGAUUAUGGAAUCUGGAAUGAUCCAUAGUCAAAAGUUCCGGCGCUUAAGGAUCGGUCUGCGGCCUAUCAGGUCGUAGUGGGUGUAACGUACCUACUAGCCUAUGACGGGUAUGGGCCUUGAGAGAGGGAGCCCAGAGUUGGAUUCUGAGACACGAAUCCAGGCCCUACGGGGCGCAGCAGUCGCGAAAACUUCACAAUGGGGGCAACCCCGAUGAGGGAAUUCCUAGUGCUAGCACAUUUGUGUUAGCUUUUCUCUAGCGUAGAUAACUAGAGGAAUAAGGGCUGGGAAAGACGGGUGCCAGCCGCCGCGGUAAUACCUGCAGCCCAAGUGGUGGUCGAUUUUAUUGAGUCUAAAACGUUCGUAGCCGGUUCGAUAAAUCUUUGGGUAAAUCGGGGGGCUUAACCUUCCGUCUUCCGAGGAGACUGUCGAACUUGGGACCGGGAGAGGCUAGAGGUACUUCUGGGGUAGGGGUAAAAUCCUGUAAUCCUAGAAGGACCACCGGUGGCGAAGGCGUCUAGCUAGAACGGAUCCGACGGUGAGGGACGAAGCCCUGGGUCGCAAACGGGAUUAGAUACCCCGGUAGUCCAGGGUGUAACGCUGCAGACUUGGUGU